rnacentral:rRNA from 1 species
UACAGAGGUGGCAAGCGUUGUUCGGAAUUACUGGGCGUAAAGGGCGCGUAGGCGGCCUUCUAAGUCAGACGUGAAAUCCCCAGGCUUAACUUGGGAACUGCGUCUGAUACUGGGAGGCUUGAGUGCGGGAGAGGGAUGUGGAAUUCCAGGUGUAGCGGUGAAAUGCGUAGAUAUCUGGAGGAACACCUGCGGCGAAGGCGGGUUGCUGGGCCGACACUGACGCUGAUGCGCGAAAGCCAGGGGAGCGAACGGG